AGUGAACGCUGGCGGUAGGCCUAACACAUGCAAGUCGAACGGCAGCACAGUAAGAGCUUGCUCUUACGGGUGGCGAGUGGCGGACGGGUGAGGAAUACAUCGGAAUCUACUUUUUCGUGGGGGAUAACGUAGGGAAACUUACGCUAAUACCGCAUACGACCUACGGGUGAAAGCAGGGGAUCUUCGGACCUUGCGCGAUUGAAUGAGCCGAUGUCGGAUUAGCUAGUUGGCGGGGUAAAGGCCCACCAAGGCGACGAUCCGUAGCUGGUCUGAGAGGAUGAUCAGCCACACUGGAAAUGAGACACGGUCCAGACUCCUACGGGAGGCAGCAGUGGGGAAUAUUGGACAAUGGGCGCAAGCCUGAUCCAGCCAUACUGCGUGGGUGAAGAAGGCCUUCGGGUUGUAAAGCCCUUUUGUUGGGAAAGAAAAGCAGCAGGUUAAUACCCCGCUGUUCUGACGGUACCCAAAGAAUAAGCACCGGCUAACUUCGUG
rnacentral:rRNA from 1 species